CGGAUUAUAAGCACAAUCACCCGUAAGCGGUGCUCACACACAAAUACGCAACGCAAUUUGACAAUCCGCAUGGGAUUUAGGAAAGGCCAAAAAUAAACAAAAGAAAUUCGUACGCGAAUCCACCUGGCAUUUUGCACUUUUUUUACUUCCCCGGUGAGGAAACAAAAUAUAAAAAAUGAAAAUAGCAUGAAGGAAUCUGCUUUUAGGUGUGAGUUGUGUGGCAAGUACUAAUUAGGAGUCCUCCUGCCUCUCCCAGUGUCCAUGUGGCAUGGUGGUGUGGGCAUAUUUUGCAUGAUCGAGGCGUGGCACCGAGGUGAGACGAGUCGCUAUCAUUACUCAAAAUGGGGCCUUACUCAAAAGUUGCCCCUUAUGCCUUGGCGCUUGUAUUUUUCGUUGAGCUAAGUCCAUCACAGUGACGCUGGUGGAUCCUAAUAAAGUGGGAGAGGGAGUCUGGGAUUCUUUCAUUCCUUUCUCUUUGUAUUCAAUUUUACGAAGGUUGAUUUAUGUUCCUAUCUCUCUUACUUUAAUAUUAUUAAAGCCUAGAGGCAAGCAUCACCAAACAUCGUAGCUUGUUGAGAUUAUAG
rnacentral:lncRNA from 1 species